rnacentral:rRNA from 1 species
CCGCCGGUGAAGGGGUGAAAGCUGGGGUAGCGAAGAGGAUUAGAUACCCUCGUAGUCCCAGCCGUAAACGGUGCACACUUGCUGUGGGCGGAUUCGACCCCGUCCGUGGCGAAGCUAACGCGAUAAGUGUGCCGCCUGGGGAGUACGGUCGCAAGAUUAAAACUCAAAGAAAUUGACGGGGGCCUGCACAAGCGGUGGAGUAUGUGGCUUAAUUCGAUGCAACGCGAAGAACCUUACCUGGCCUUGACAUGUAGUGGACCGGGUGCGAAAUCACCCUUUUCUUCGGAACUGCUACACAGGUGCUGCAUGGCUGUCGUCAGCUCGUGUCGUGAGAUGUUGGGUUAAGUCCCGCAACGAGCGCAACCCCCGUGUUCUGUUGCCACCCAGAUGUAAAUCUGGAGCACUCUGGACAGACUGCCUGGUUUCAACUAGGAGGAAGGUGGGGAUGACGUCAAGUCAGUAUGGCCCUUACGGCCAGGGCUGCACACGUACUACAAUGCCUGAUAUAAUGGGAAGCAAGACCGCGAGGUGGAGCAAAUCCUCAAAAUCAGGCCCAGUUCAGAUUGUAGGCUGCAACUCGCCUACAUGAAGGAGGAAUCGCUAGUAAUGCCGUAUCAGCUACGACGGCGUGAAUACGUUCCCAGGCCUUGCACACACCGCCCAA